rnacentral:rRNA from 1 species
UACAGAGGGUGCAAGCGUUAAUCGGAAUUACUGGGCGUAAAGCGUGCGUAGUCGGCUUUUUAAGUCGGGUGUGAAAUCCCCGGGCUCAACCUGGGAAUUGCAUUCGAUACUGGAUGGCUAGAGUUCGGCAGAGGGAAGUGGAAUUUCUGGUGUAGCGGUGAAAUGCGUAGAUAUCAGAAGGAACAUCAGUGGCGAAAGCGACUUCCUGGACCAGAACUGACGAUCAGGCACGAAAGCGUGGGGAGCAAACAGG